rnacentral:rRNA from 1 species
UACGAAGGGGGCUAGCGUUGUUCGGAAUUACUGGGCGUAAAGCGCACGUAGGCGGAUCGAUCAGUCAGGGGUGAAAUCCCAGGGCUCAACCCUGGAACUGCCUUUGAUACUGUCGAUCUGGAGUAUGGAAGAGGUGAGUGGAAUUCCGAGUGUAGAGGUGAAAUUCGUAGAUAUUAGGAGGAACACCAGUGGCGAAGGCGGCACUCUGGGCCAGUACUGACACUGAGGAGCGAAAGCGUGGGUAGCGAACAGG